GACGAACGCUGGCGGCGUGCUUAACACAUGCAAGUCGAACGAGACGAUUGGAAGCUUGCUUUCGAAAGUCGAGUGGCAAACGGGUGAGUAACGCGUAGACAACCUGCCUUUGAGAUGGGGACAACAGUUCGAAAGGACUGCUAAUACCGAAUGUUGUAUAUUUUCCACAUGGAAGAUAUAUUAAAGAUGGCCUCUAUUUAUAAGCUAUCGCUAAAAGAUGGGUCUGCGUCUGAUUAGCUGGUUGGUGGGGUAACGGCCUACCAAGGCGACGAUCAGUAGCCGGUCUGAGAGGAUGAACGGCCACAUUGGGACUGAGACACGGCCCAGACUCCUACGGGAGGCAGCAGUGGGGAAUCUUCCACAAUGGACGAAAGUCUGAUGGAGCAACGCCGCGUGAGUGAAGAAGGGUUUCGGCUCGUAAAGCUCUGUUGUCGGGGACGAAUGUGCAGUAUUUGAAUAAAGUACUGUAAUGACGGUACCUGACGAGGAAGCCACGGCUAACUACGUGCCAGCAGCCGCGGUAA
rnacentral:rRNA from 1 species